UACAUGGGGUGCAAAGCGUUGCUCGGAAUUAUUGGGCGUAAAGCGCGCGUAUGGACGGGUUACUCAAGUCGGGAUGUGAAAGCCCUCGGCUUAAACUGAGGAAGUGGCACCCGAAACCUGAGUAGCUAGAGUACUAAAGAGGGUCGCGGAAUUCCCAGCGGUAGAGGUGAAAUUCGAUAGAUAUCGGGAGGAACACCGGUGGCGAAGGCGGCGACCUGGGUCAGAUACGUGACGCUGAGGCGCGAAAGCGAUGGG
rnacentral:rRNA from 1 species